rnacentral:lncRNA from 10 species
GCAGGUCAUAAACAAAAGGAAGAAGCACUACUAUGGACUCAGGCUGCAGUUACAGUCAACAACCCUCCCUCCACCAAGAUCAGCACAGAGAGUCUCUCCCCAACAUCCUCAUAUCACAGCACGCUCCAGGACUGGGGAAUCCCUGAGGAUGGCUCAGGGCAGCCCAGCCUCCUUUCUGAAAACAGGAUUCAGAGCUCAUAGAAGCCUCCCUGCCCUGGGAGUCUCAAGAGAGCACUUAAGCACAGACACCUGGUUUAGCUUGGUAGGCACCCCUAGCCUGCGGAGCUUACCCCCGCCGCACACAUCUGGAGAGUCAACCAUUACAAAGAGAAAUAGCAGGACUGGUCCUGCCCCUCCGGGAUGGUGCCGCCAGUCUAGAGUAAAAUGCCAAGCACGGGCUCAAGACUCCUGCUGAGGCCAAUGGAGAAGCUGAGAUAUUUUGAAAGCCACCCCUGAGGCGAGAAAGUUGUGCAGAAGGCACUAAUUGUCAACGCUCCCCAAGGACAGCCUGCCUGUUCCAAGGCAGGAGGAAAGGGCCGAGCUGUCAGCGCCCGAUUCCUGGGGGAGUCUGCCUCGCCCGCGCUCAGCCAGCCAGGCCAGCUUCCUGCCCGGCAUGGAGGAGAUAAAACACAGGAACACAGACGAUCUUACAUAACCGAAGCGGGACUGAACAUUUUCAGCAAAUUACCUCUGUUAUGAGCUCUGCCAUAAAAUCGCCUCACAAGUGAAUUUAGUUUUUCUUCCCUCCGUGCCCAAUCAAUUAGCACAUGAGUAAUACCAAGCCCAUUAGGACAAACUGAUGCCGGGGGAGUUAUGUCAUCUGCUAUAGAAAUGAUUGCUUAAUAUACCAGUUGGCUCCGAGGAGCUCUUAGCCACACACAAUCUUGC